rnacentral:rRNA from 1 species
CAAUGGGCGCAAGCCUGAUGCAGCGACGCCGCGUGAGGGAUGACGGCCUUCGGGUUGUAAACCUCUUUCAGCAGGGACGAAGCGCAAGUGACGGUACCUGUAGAAGAAGGACCGGCCAACUACGUGCCAGCAGCCGCGGUAAUACGUAGGGUCCGAGCGUUGUCCGGAAUUACUGGGCGUAAAGAGCUCGUAGGUGGUUUGUCGCGUUGUUCGUGAAAACUCACAGCUCAACUGUGGGCGUGCGGGCGAUACGGGCAGACUUGAGUACUGCAGGGGAGACUGGAAUUCCUGGUGUAGCGGUGGAAUGCGCAGAUAUCAGGAGGAACACCGGUGGCGAAGGCGGGUCUCUGGGCAGUAACUGACGCUGAGGAGCGAAAGCGUGGGGAGCGAACAGGAUUAGAUACCCUGGUAGUCCACGCCGUAAACGGUGGGUACUAGGUGUGGGUUUCCUUCCUUGGGAUCCGUGCCGUAGCUAACGCAUUAAGUACCCCGCCUGGGGAGUACGGCCGCAAGGCUA